rfam:Clostridium sp. CAG:417 genomic scaffold, scf8
AAAUUUAAUUUGUUGGUGCCAUAGACAGUAGGUUGUUAGUAAAUCCUACCGAGGACUACUUUAUAGAAGGGUUCUUGUAUUGGCAAGAGCCUUUUUUGUGGCAACU